CAUCACAGCGGCCAGCGUGGGUGUGCUGACCUGUCAGGAGGGAUUCCAGUCGACCUGGGAACGUGGUUGUGUGCUUUUUCCAGGCAGCCUCAGCGGCAACGGGCUGAGCAAUGCUGUGAUAAACAUUCUUAUAAGAGGAGUGCUUCAGGAAAAUGUGUUCAAACUUCAAAGGAGAGUUUUAUGGAAAAGUAUUUUGGAUGACCUGGGAGAUACACAAGGUAAAGGAGGAGACCUUUGUAAGGUAAAGAAUUGAGAACUAAACAACUGACAUGAAGGAAAGUAACAGAGGCGGGACCAGAUGCAGCAUAAAUGUGCUGUUAACACCUCUUUAAAAUCUUUGAGCAUCUUGUAAGACUUGAUUGAAAUAUAAAAUUAAUGGUUUAUAAACCUAUUAUUGAGUUAAAUGAAACAUCUACUAGCACAUUUAAAGAAGUUAUUUCCUGAUCUCUUCUGAGCUUAUUCACCAAAGGAACAGUUGAAUGCAUUUCUAAUCAACUACAAAUUCAAAUGUGAAAUGAUCAUUUGGUUCAUUAAAAAAAAAAAAAAAAAAAAAAAGUAGUGGGCUUUCCAAUUGCAUCCUUACUGUUACACUUAGAUUCCAGGGAGGAAAAUACUAGUAACACUCGUUAUUCAGUUUCCUUUGCUUAUAUUUUUGAUGGUUGUAUUUAAAGGUAUAAAAUCAAAUAUGUUUGUAUGUUUCACAGAGCUCUGUCUUUGAAAAAGAAUAAUAGUUUCUCUAAAUCUUAG
rnacentral:lncRNA from 1 species